UACCAGCACCCCGAGUGGUCGGGACGUUUAUUGGGCCUAAAGCAUCCGUAGCCGGUUCUACAAGUCUUCCGUUAAAUCCACCUGCUUAACAGAUGGGCUGCGGAAGAUACUAUAGAGCUAGGAGGCGGGAGAGGCAAGCGGUACUCGAUGGGUAGGGGUAAAAUCCUGUAAUCCUGCGGGGAGGACCAGUGGCGAAGGCGCUACACUAGAACGGCUCUGACAGUGAGGGACGAAGCCCUGGGGCGCAAACCGG
rnacentral:rRNA from 1 species